rnacentral:rRNA from 1 species
ACAAUCUAGGUCGGGCUAACCCGGGAACUGGGUAUAAUACCCGAUAGAUCUCGACUGCUGGAAUGCAUCGAGCUCUAAAGCUCCGGCGCCUGAGGAUGGGUCUGCGGCCUAUCAGGUAGUAGUGGGUGUAGCGUACCUACUAGCCUACGACGGGUACGGGUUGUGAGAGCAAGAGCCCGGAGAUGGAUUCUGAGACACGAAUCCAGGCCCUACGGGGUGCAGCAGGCGCGAAAACUUUACAAUGCCGGCAACGGCGAUAAGGGGACCUCGAGUGCCAGGUUACAAAUCUGGCUGUCGUAAUGCCUAAAAAGCAUUGCAUAGCAAGGGCCGGGCAAGACCGGUGCCAGCCGCCGCGGUAACACCGGCGGCUCGAGUGGUAACCGUUAUUAUUGGGUCUAAAGGGUCUGUAGCCGGCCGGAUAAGUCUCUUGGGAAAUCCAGCAGCUCAACUGUUGGGCUUUCAGGAGAUACUGUUCGGCUCGAGGCCGGGAGAGGUGAGAGGUACUUCAGGGGUAGGGGUGAAAUCUUGUAAUCCUUGAAGGACCACCAGUGGCGAAGGCGUCUCACCAGAACGGACCUGACGGCAAGGGACGAAAGCUAGGGGCACGAACCGGAUUAGAUACCCGGGUAGUCCUAGCCGUAAACGAUACUCGCUAGGUGUCGGCCACGGUGCGACCGUUGUCGGUGCCGUAGGGAAGCCGUGAAGCGAGCCACCUGGGAAGUACGGCCGCAAGGCUGAAACUUAAAGGAAUUGGCGGGGGAGCAC